rnacentral:ribozyme from 1 species
GCUGCUCGUAAUAAUCACACACCUCUUCGUGGUGAGCAGCAGGCAACGAUCUUAUUUGUGAGUAUGGUCGGUUAAGAUGCGUGG